rnacentral:rRNA from 1 species
CAUUAAAAAGUUAGUUGUGGAAAUCAAUUUAUUCUGAAUAUAAAUUUUUAUUAUUUUGUUAUUAAUUAAAAUAUUAUAAAGUUUUAUUAUUAUAAAAAGAAUAAAUAAAAGUUAUUAUAGUGCAAUAGUAUAGUAGAAGAAUAUUUUUUUAUGAAUUAAAGAAUAAUUUAUUUUUAGUACCUUGUGUAUCAGGGUUGAUUAAUUAAUAUUAAUAAAUUUUAUUAUCUCGAAAAAAAUUAAGAGCUAAUUAUAUAUAUAUAUUAAUGUAGAAUUAUUAUUUAUAAUAUAUUAUUGGUAAUGAAACGUUAUUCGUUUUUUUUGAUAUCUAGUUAUUUAAGAAAUGUAUUUAAUACAGCAUUUGUUUUAUAAAAAUUUAAAUGUUAUAAUGAUUUAUAAAAUAAAUAGUAAUAUUUUAAGGGAUGAGCUUUAAAUUAGAUUAUUAUAAAUAAAUAUAUAAUUUAAAAUUAAAUAGGAUUGGAAUUUUUUAUUUUUAUUAAUAUGUUAUAAUUAAAUUUUAUGAGGAUUUUAUUUAUAUUUAUUUUAAUUGUUUUAUUAAAUAGUUUAAUGUAAUUUUAUAAUUAAAGUUAUAAUGAUUAAAUUAGUAUUAGUUAAUGUAAAUUUAAAUUAAAAAUGAUAGGUAUAGAUAAGGAACUCGGCAAAUAUUUUUUUCACCUGUUUAUUAAAAACAUGUCCUUUUGAGUAUGAUUUAAGGUCUAGCCUGCUCAAUGAAUUUUUAAAUAGCUGCAGUAUUUUGACUGUACAAAGGUAGCAUAAUAAUUAGUUUUUUGAUUGAAAGCUUGUAUGAAUGGCUGAAUGAGAAAAAGACUGUCUAUCUAUAAUUAAAUAGAAUUUUAUUUUUAAGUUAAAAAGCUUAAAUAAUAUUAAAAGACGAGAAGACCCUAUAGAGUUUAAUUUAAAGUUAAGUUUUAAUAAAAAGGUAAUUUAGUUUUGUAACUUAGUUUUGAAUUUGAUUGGGGUGAUUUUAAAAUUUAAAAAACUUUUAAAAUUUUAUUACAUUGAUAUAUGAAUAUAUGAUCCAUUUAUAAUGAUUAAUAGAUUAAAUUACCUUAGGGAUAACAGCGUAAUCUUUUUGGAGAGUUCUUAUUGAUAAAAAGGAUUGCGACCUCGAUGUUGGAUUAAAAUUAACUAUUGGUGCAGAAGCUAAUAAGUUGGGUCUGUUCGACCUUUAAAAUUUUACAUGAUCUGAGUUUAAACCGGUGUGAGCCAGGUUGGUUUCUAUCUUUAAUAAAAUAGGAUAUUCUAGUACGAGAGGACCGAGUAUUUAUAAUAAUUAUUUUAUUGUGAUUAAAAUUAAAUGUUAUUUUGGCAGAUUAGUGCAUUAAAUUUAGAAUUUAAUUAUGUAUUUAUAUAC